rnacentral:tRNA from 1 species
CCCGGCGUGGCGGACGAUCCGUGACCGGCUCGCGGCCGGUCCGGUGCUGGUCCAGGUGCCCCGGGCGGGCUACGUGCCCGUCGUCGCGU